rnacentral:rRNA from 1 species
UUAGUGGCGGACGGGUGAGUAACGCGUGGAUAACCUGCCGUAUACCGGGGGAUAACACUUAGAAAUAGGUGCUAAUACCGCAUAAGCGCACGGCUCCGCAUGGGGCAGUGUGAAAAAUUCCGGUGGUAUACGAUGGAUCCGCGUCUGAUUAGCUAGUUGGCGGGGUAACGGCCCACCAAGGCAGCGAUCAGUAGCCGGCCUGAGAGGGUGGACGGCCACAUUGGGACUGAGACACGGCCCAAACUCCUACGGAAGGCAGCAG